rnacentral:rRNA from 1 species
CUUGCAAACCAAAGCUGGCGACCGGCGCACGGGUGAGUAACACGUAUCCAACCUGCCUCAUACUCGGGGAUAGCCUUUCGAAAGAAAGAUUAAUAUCCGAUAGUAUAUUAAAACCGCAUGGUUUUACUAUUAAAGAAUUUCGGUUAUCGAUGGGGAUGCGUUCCAUUAGUUUGUUGGCGGGGUAACGGCCCACCAAGACUACGAUGGAUAGGGGUUCUGAGAGGAAGGUCCCCCACAUUGGAACUGAGACACGGUCCAA